GAUGAACGCUAGCUACAGGCUUAACACAUGCAAGUCGAGGGGCAGCAUGAACCAAGCUUGCUUGGUUUGAUGGCGACCGGCGCACGGGUGAGUAACGCGUAUCCAACCUGCCCUGUACUGGGGAAUAGCCUGCCGAAAGGCAGAUUAAUGCCCCAUGCACUCCUUUGACGGCAUCAGACGAGGAGUAAAGGUUUUUCCGGUAUGGGAUGGGGAUGCGUCCGAUUAGCUUGACGGCGGGUUGACAGCCCACCGUGGCGACGAUCGGUAGGGGUUCUGAGAGGAAGGUCCCCCACAUUGGAACUGAGACACGGUCCAAACUCCUACGGGAGGCAGCAGUGAGGAAUAUUGGUCAAUGGACGGGAGUCUGAACCAGCCAAGUAGCGUGCAGGAUGACGGCCCUAUGGGUUGUAAACUGCUUUUGUGCGGGGAUAAAGUGUGGGACGCGUCCCAUAUUGCAGGUACCGCAUGAAUAAGGACCGGCUAAUUCCCGUGCCAGCAGCCG
rnacentral:rRNA from 1 species